rnacentral:rRNA from 1 species
AUUGAACGCUGGCGGCAGGCCUAACACAUGCAAGUCGAAUGGUAACAGGAAACAGCUUGCUGUUUCGCUGACGAGUGGCGGACGGGUGAGUAAUGUCUGGGAAACUGCCUGACGGAGGGGGAUAACUACUGGAAACGGUAGCUAAUACCGCAUAACGUCGCAAGACCAAAGAGGGGGACCUUCGGGCCUCUUGCCAUCAGAUGUGCCCAGAUGGGAUUAGCUAGUAGGUGGGGUAACGGCUCACCUAGGCGACGAUCCCUAGCUGGUCUGAGAGGAUGACCAGCCACACUGGAACUGAGACACGGUCCAGACUCCUACGGGAGGCAGCAGUGGGGAAUAUUGCACAAUGGGCGCAAGCCUGAUGCAGCCAUGCCGCGUGUAUGAAGAAGGCCUUCGGGUUGUAAAGUACUUUCAGCGGGGAGGAAGGGAGUAAAGUUAAUACCUUUGCUCAUUGACGUUACCCGCAGAAGAAGCACCGGCUAACUCCGUG